AAACUUGAGAGUUUGAUCAUGGCUCAGAAUGAACGCUGGCGGCAUGCCUAACACAUGCAAGUCGAACGAAGCCUUCGGGCUUAGUGGCGCACGGGUGCGUAACGCGUGGGAAUCUGCCCUUGGGUUCGGAAUAACAGUUAGAAAUGACUGCUAAUACCGAAUGAUGUCGUAAGACCAAAGAUUUAUCGCCCAGGGAUGAGCCCGCGUAGGAUUAGCUAGUUGGUGAGGUAAAAGCUCACCAAGGCGACGAUCCUUAGCUGGUCUGAGAGGAUGAUCAGCCACACUGGGACUGAGACACGGCCCAGACUCCUACGGGAGGCAGCAGUGGGGAAUAUUGGACAAUGGGCGAAAGCCUGAUCCAGCAAUGCCGCGUGAGUGAUGAAGGCCUUAGGGUUGUAAAGC
rnacentral:rRNA from 1 species